UACGAAGGGGGCUAGCGUUGCUCGGAAUGACUGGGCGUAAAGGGCGCGUAGGCGGAUGGUACAGUCAGAUGUGAAAUUCCUGGGCUCAACCUGGGGGCUGCAUUUGAUACGUGCUGUCUAGAGUGUGGAAGAGGGUUGUGGAAUUCCCAGUGUAGAGGUGAAAUUCGUAGAUAUUGGGAAGAACACCGGUGGCGAAGGCGGCAACCUGGUCCAUUACUGACGCUGAGGCGCGAAAGCGUGGGGAGCAAACAGG
rnacentral:rRNA from 1 species